rnacentral:rRNA from 1 species
UACAGAGGUCCCGAGCGUUGUUCGGAUUCACUGGGCGUAAAGGGUGCGUAGGUGGUGAGGUAAGUCGGAUGUGAAAUCUCCGGGCUCAACCCGGAAAUGGCAUUGGAAACUACCUUGCUGGAGGAUUUGAGGGGGGAUUGGAAUACUUGGUGUAGCAGUGAAAUGCGUAGAUAUCAAGUGGAACACCAGUGGCGAAGGCGACUUACUGGACGAUUGUUGACGCUGAGGUGCGAAAGCGUGGGGAGCAAACAGG